UUCCUCUUUUCCCUUCACGCCCCCCAUCGCGCAACUGGUAACGGACAUUUAGUAAAUCGUUAUGAGUUACUUACUUCGAAAAGGUUGAUUGUCUCGACAAACUACGUCUGCUUCUAUCCCGAUAGCCAAUAUCUCUAUGAAAACGUAAGAGGAAGAUGCACCUGUUCACGUGAGAUUGAAAGAGGAGAAAGAUCUUAAGAUCUUACGAUCUUACGAUCGUUAUUUAUACGUGGCAAGAGAUCACGGAGGUCAUUCGAGCGAGUCUACGAUCUUGAGAAAAGAGAUAUGAGAACAAAAAUAUUUCGAAAGUGAAAAUAUUCAUCUUACUUCGUCGAAGAGAUUUUGUUCAGAAAGUUCAUUCGUUCGAGUUUGAUGAAAAGAAUUCUCUCUAGAAAAAAGAGGAAAAGAAAAAACAUAAAUGAAGAGGAAUUUUUCUAUCAUAAACUCAUCCAAAACUGUAUAAUACAUUUGAAGGCGUUGUUGGGUUGGAAUUUAUUCAUGGCGGCGACGGCGGCGGCUUCCCUUUCAAACUUAACGAGACCGACUACAUUCAACGUUAUCUAGUACAAUAUAUAACCGAAAGGAAUCACAGGGUAUAUACAGAUAUAUAUAUAUAUAUAUAUAUAUGUAUAUAUACUGUGAGUACAUACAUACUUCGGUUAUAUUGAUGAUGACGAGAGAGAACGAGGAAAUUAGGCGAACUGAGCUGAGAGUGUACGAAUACGAAUAGUUUUAUAAAACAAGAGGAAACAAUGAACGAGUGAGUACUGGACGAAAGCAUUUAUUUUACCAGAUCCUAUCAAAAAUAUAUAUAUUAUACAGUUGGGAUUAAAUUCAUGAUCUUUUGUAAUUGUUGUGUCGAUAUUGGA